GCUCCCUUGGCUCAGCUGGUUAGAGGGCAGGUCUCACACUCGUAUGAGUAGUCAAUUGAUUACGUAAUCCUGAUAUCGCCUGUUCGAGCCAGGCAGGGAGCA